AUUGAACGCUGGCGGCAGGCCUAACACAUGCAAGUCGAACGAGUGGCGGACGGGUGAGUAAUGCCUGGGAAUCCAGCUUAUGGAGGGGGAUAACUACGGGAAACUGUAGCUAAUACCGCGUAACAUAGGAUGAGCCCAAGUGGGAUUAGGUAGUUGGUGAGGUAAAGGCUCACCAAGCCGACGAUCUCUAGCUGGUCUGAGAGGAUGACCAGCCACCCUGGGACUGGGACACGGCCCAGACUCCUACGGGAGGCAGCAGUGGGGAAUAUUGCGCAAUGGGGGCAACCUGACUCAGCCAUGCCGCGUGAAUGAAGAAGGCCUUCGUGUUGUAAAGUUCUUUCGGUAGCGAGGCGUUAACUACAGAAGAAGCACCGGCUAACUCCGUGCCAGCAGCCGCGGUAAUAC
rnacentral:rRNA from 1 species